GUCUCUGUGGUGCGACCGGUCAGCGCGUUCUGCUGUUAACCGGAAGGUUGGUGGUUCGAACCCACCCAGGGACG
rfam:Canis lupus familiaris chromosome 17, whole genome shotgun sequence.